rnacentral:lncRNA from 1 species
ACAACUAAACAACUCCCCAGCUCUAAAUCCAAAAUCAAGACAUCACAGAUCAAAAACAAAAUAAAACCAGAGAAAGGGAAAGGAAACCUAAACUUAUUCGACGUUUCUAAGCACAACGAUCAGGAUCCACACAGUAAAGCCGCUCGAGUCCGCUGAUCCCGUUGAGGCAAGGAGGCCGUUUAGGGUAUAAGGACCACCAGGCUGCAGGUCACUGGAGAAAGGUCGAAAGGCAAGGAAAUAAGGAUAGCUUAGGUAAUAAUUCUUAACCCUUAUCUGUUGGUGGAAGUUUGUUGAUGAUUUGAUGAUGAGGAGAUUUGUGGAGGAAGAGCAUAUUUCUCAAAUUGAUCUUUAAUAAUAUGAAUCAUAAGUUCUAUUUAGGAGAAUCUAAAG